GGUUGGUCCGAGUGCAGUGGUGUUUACAACUAAUUGAUCACAACCAGUUACAGAUUCCUUUGUUCCUUCUCCACUCCCACUGCUCCACUUGACCAGCCCAAA
rnacentral:Y_RNA from 1 species